rnacentral:lncRNA from 1 species
UUCUUACUUGCAGUAGCAAAAGGGAUCUGGUCCUAGUUACACUUGAAGUGAGAACAAAUGAAGGUCAUAGACAUAACAUCACCAACAUGACAGUAAAUAUUUAUUUUGGUGAGGUAGUAUAUAGUCGCCCUUGCAACGACCGAGCAAAUUUCUACGUGCAUUUUUGGCGGACGCACGCCGCAUUAGAGUUGGAGACUUGGUCUUGGGAAGGAUCAGAUUCGUUGACAAAUUGGUUCCGAUAAUAGUACCACAGAUAAUGGACAAGUAGCAGGCUUCGAAUUCUCUGGCUAGUACAUAGUACCACGCGGUAAUACGGAAAAAAAGCUUUCCAAUUUUGUUUUCUUCCGUUCAUACCGAUCUGACGAAGUCUGUUAGUCAAAUCGUAGCUCGACACUGUCAUGAAAUGGUUACUAACCUGUUCUAUAUUGACUUCAACAAAAUAUUGGAGCUAGUCGAUCACCAGAAACACUAUUCGAAUUAUAAAAGUCUUCUCCAUUACCUCAGCGACUUGACCUAUAAUGUUGCUCGAGAAAUCUCUGGACUGGACAUCCUGGUACCAUAAAAGCUCGGUAAAGAAAAUCACAUUCCCCAGUGAGAGCCCUCAUCACUUUAUUCUAUUUAGUUUUUUUUUUUGGCAUGAUUUCUUACCAGAUUUGCCCAAUCUCAGUUUCGCCCGCAGUGGCCAUUCCGGCUCAAAUCAUUCUGGCAUCGACAGCAGCUUCCAUACCGAUGCCAGUUUUUCUGGAAACGGUGGCAACUAUUGUCAUACCAAUACCGUCCUCUCUGGCAGCGCUGGGCAGCAACCUUUGCAACUCCUCCGCCCACUCCCAUGGCCAGCAGCAUCAUCACAAACAUGACAACAAGCCCAAACCAAAUCAUGCCUAUCGCCAUAGCAAGCUUAGUGCUUAGAAGCCUAAGUACUGAGAGUGCAAAGAACGAGCUUUGACCUUCUGGAUCUGGAUGAUGUUUAGAAGAAAGUGGGAAACCUCUCUUGAGAGGCGUGUCUAUAUACUACAACCGAGCAAGCAUUAUGUCAUGCAUUAAUCUCACGAGGGAAUAUGCUAAGUCGUUG